rnacentral:lncRNA from 1 species
UUCCAAGCGACAGGGACGGGGUUUCACUGUGUUGGCCAGGAUGGUCUCGAUCUCUUGACCGUGUGAUCUGCCUGCUUCGGCCUCCCAAAGUGCUGGUAUUACAGGCGUGAGCCACUGCGCCCAGUCAAAGAUGUUCUCUUUUAAGAUUACUUUUUAAAAAGACUCACACGGUACCUUCCCACAAGAAGACAUGGAGACUAUGUGACGUAGCCUGUGGGUCCCUGGACACCGGGACUAGAGGACCCUUCCCAAGAGCAGACCGCAGGCAAGAUACCAUUCAUUGGCCUCGCUGCCUGUGCCCGCGGAUUCCGCACGUGGCCACACCUCUUCUAUACAAGGCAAGGUGGCGUGCCUACAUCCAUGCCAUCCUGUUGUUAUCCAUGGAUGAACAACUCAGAAUUUGGAGAAAUGGAUUUGGGGAAAUCUCUGAGACACAUUUUGAAACCAGCGAGGAAUUAGGCUGCAAGCGGCAGCAGCAGUAACAGUGACAGCAGCAAGAAACAGCCACCUGCAUCUCAAGAGUGGCACAGGGCUUCCACUGGCUGAGGCGGACACAUGGCGGAUGUGUAAGAAGCGUGCAGAAAGUGGUCAGUCGUGUGUGCACACACGAAUACAUGCUCAGUGUCAGGCCAAGGCCCUGUGGGCCUAAGGAAAACAAUGUCACGUUUCAACAUGAUUUGGGAAACCCUACUCUCCACUGAAAUCUCAUAUUGGCAGCAGAAAACUCUGCCGAUGCCUCAGAAGCCAAAGAUAACUAAAUUGUGUUUCUUUUAGUUCUUGCAUAGGGGCAAGCCCACUUCACAUUUCAUGAUACACCAACUCCUAGAGAGCUCCUUUGGGGCCCUAUUUAAUUUACUUAACUUUUGUUGGCAAUGGAAAGUGGGCCUGCCACAUUUGAUGACUAGAGCAGGUCCAUCCCAGUCACCUGCCUUCCCAAAAGUGCAUUGGAGAGUGGAACAGAAACCACAACCCACUGUCUCGGACAGGCGUCAGCAUUGUAAAAUACACUCUGGCACCCAGCCCUGGCAGAAUAGUGGUCUACAGAGGCAAAACUUCAGAUUUUUACUAUACCCAAGGCAUAAUGAACUUUAUCGAGGGUAAAUAUUGCCCAGCCUUCUUUCAUGUAGGAACCAAGAAAACUAGACCCAACAGUUUUGCCUUUCCUUCCUUCUCUGUACAUGUUCUUCCUAGUUGUACUGGAUUUUGCUAAUAUCAUAAGCACAGCUGUGAUACAGCCAGGUCUUUAUGCAUGGAUUUUACUCUUUGAGCAGCUUGAAGACAAUUCUGUCUCGCUCUCUCUGGGUUCUCACGAGCACAGAGCUGUAACCAUAAUAAGCUCUCAAUAAAGGUUGAAUAGAGGCCACAGAGAUCUUCAGGCCAGAAGUCAGAGGUCAUUCCUUGAGGACGUGUUAGUGACAGUGUCCUGUACAGUGGCUAGGCAGAGAAAGACUGCUGAGAACAGACAGACCUGGCUUUCAUUAGUUAAGAGAUGGACAGAGGAAGGAGCUCCAUCCACUCACAAAGACAGUGGCCUCCAUAUCCCGAGAGGGGAGUCAGGAGCAUGACAUGUUCUACACAACUACAGUCUUCAUCAUAAUCCCAAAGGCAGCCAUAACCAUGGGUAAUUGGGAUAAUAUUUAGAAAAUAUUUGCAUGCCAAAACUGACAUUUUUAGAGGCCAUGGAGAAACAGGUUUCCAAUGUCAAGUUUUGUUGAAAGAGGACACACAUUAUUCUAGAUUCUGAAAGUUCCCUUCAUCUUCAAAGAGCUAGGCCUUGCCAGUGUGACUGUGGAGCUUGCUAUAAGCCUGAAUAAAGAGAAGACAGAGGACAUCAAGUUAGGGAAACCCCACCCAACAGGAAGGAGACACUCUUCUGGCCAAGAGGCAAGUUGGGGAGGGAGGGAUGCAGAGAGAAGAGAAGAUGAGAGAAGUUAAGGCUGAGCUAGUAUCUGAGAAUACCUCACAUGUGCCCCACAGCCUGCCUCUUCCUCUGCUACACUGUGGCCAGAAAGGGGUCUCAGUGUUCUACGUGCCCCCAGAGGGUGUAGCUGCGAGCCAGACUGCUGAGAGGUCACCUUUGCAGAGCCUAGAGACAGAUGACAGACAAAGCUGAGAUUUAGAGAUCUUUGGGGCCAGGAAGAUCUGAGCAGUGGAGGUCCCAAAGCACCAGCAGAGACAGCUAGACCUAGUGGCCCCAGAAUUGGAUGCUCAAAGACAUGAUCAGGCCAGGCCCAGCUCAAUCAGCACCUGCUAUGUCUCAAAGGCAGGAUGAGUUCAGAGGCACCACUCCACACUGUGAGAAUCCAUAAUUGUUUCCCUCUUCCAGCUGCCAACCUGGGACAUAGAGAGUGAAGAGACAUCCUUUGAGAAGGAAAUCUUAAUUUUUAUUUAACUGUGUAUUUACCCAAAAGAAAGUGAGUUAGACCAAAAGAGUCUAAGUUGCUUUCAAUGGGCAAGUUUAAGGUUCUCCCUCCUUCCUCUGCCAUCAACAGGAAAUGAUGAGAUCCAUAUAGAGAAUAUUUAAAAGGAAAUAAAUUAUCAUUUUCUGCCCCUCUGAGUUGCAGGGUGUAAAUUCUUCCUCUGCUAGAAGCGUGUGCAAUGUGGGAAGCCCAGCACACAGAAAGAGCUUAAUUCAUGCUGCUGAUUUAAUAGAUUUUUUUUCAUGGAUGUGCCAGAAAGCCCCAUUCAUGUAAACACUACAAUUGCAAAAGUUUAUGCCAGACAGAAGCCUGCAUUUGUUGGGGAUUAAAAGAAAGGGCACUUGACUUUGUAGCCCAAAGACCCAGGUUUUCCAGGUGCAGUCCUGGCAUUGAGUUGUCAUGUCAUCCCAGGCAAAUCAUGGACUUGUUCUGGGCCUCUGUUUCUUUCUUCAACAUGAAGGAAUUUGUUAAAGAAAUUUCUAAAAUUCUUCUGUUAAUGAGUAAUGACGAUAAUAUCAGUAGUCACAAGCAUUUACUGAGCACUGACUAGCUGCCAACCACUGUGUUGUUUGCUUUGUUUAUAUAACCCCAUUCACUUUUAAAAUCAUCUUAUGAGGGAAAGAAACCAUUAUCACCCACAUAAGGUAUGACUGCUUAUAUAGAAAAUGCCCAAAAUCCAUAAACAAAUGAUUAAGAACAAUUAAAUUUAGUGAAGAUAUAAAAUUUACAUACAUCAAACAGCUAGAAAGUUUAAUUAAAAGACAAUAUUUUUUUUUUUUAAUUCUGAGAUAGAGUCUCACUCUGUCACCCAGGCUGGAGUGCAGUGGCGCUAUCUCAGCUCACUGCAACCUCCUCUGCCUUCCGGGUUCAAGCAAUUCUCGUGCCUCAGCCCCCUGAGUAGCUAGGAUUACAGGUGUAAACCACCACACAUGGCUAAUUUUUGUAUUUUUUUUUUUUUUUUAGUAGGGACGGGGUUUCACCAUGUUGGCCAGGCUGGUCUAGAACUCCUGAUCUCAAGUGAUCCGCCCACCUCAGCCUCCCAAGGUGCUGGGAUUACAGGCAUGAGCCACUGUGCCCAGGCUAAAAGACAAUAUUCUUUACAACAGCAUCAGAAAACAUCAGGUAUCUAGUGGGGCACAGUGGCAUGUGCCUAUAGUCCCAGCUACUCAGGAGGGUGAGGUAGGAGGAUCACUUGGACCUAGGAGUUCGAAGCUGUGGUGAGCUAUGAUCGUACCACUGCACUCCAGCCCGGAUGACAAAAUAAGACCCUUCCUCAAAAAAAAAAAAAAAAAUUAAAAUAUCAAGUCUCCUAGAAUAAACCUAACAAUGGACACAUUUUCAAGACCUCUAGAAGGAAAAGUGUAAAACUUUAAGAGAUAUUAAAAAGGGCUAAGUAAUUGGAGAGAGAUAUUGUGUUCAUGGAUUAUAUAAUUUAAUAGUGUAAUUUGAUCUAUAUAUUCAGUGCAAUUCUUGUCAAAUUCCUAAUAAUUUUUUUAAAAAUAGAACCUGAAAAAAUGAUUCUAAACUUAUGUGAAAGCAUAAAAGACCAAAAAUAGGAUGUUUCUGAAAAGGUAGUGAUCAGGGGUUUCCCUUAUUGAUGUCUGGACUUUUAUGAGGCUGGAGCAAUUAAAACCCUGUAGUUUUGGUGCAGAGACAGAAAAACAGACCAUGGGGUAUGAAUAAGAUCCCAGAAAAAGAUGGAUGCAAAUAAAGAAUGUUGGUUUAUUACAGAGGAUACAGGAGGUCAGUGAGGAGAGGAGGCUGAUAAACAAAUGGAGGUGGAAAAAAGUAGUUAUUCAUAUGGGAAAAAAUGAACUUGAAUAUCUCUCUCAAACUAUAUCCGAAAAAUAACCCUAGAUAGAUUCAGGAAUUAAAUGUCAAAAAAGAAACUUUAUAAUUUAUAGUAAAAUACAGGUAACUAUUUUAUACCUUGGAGUAGUGAUAUGGUUUGGCUCUGUGUCCCCACCCAAAUCUCAUUUUGAAUUGUAAUUCCAAAUGUUGGAGGUGAGGCCUGGUGGGAGGUGCUUGGAUCAUAGAGGUGGUUUCUAGUGGUUUGGCACCAUCCCCCUAGUUCUGUAUUUAAAGUGUGUAGUACCAUCCCCUUCUCUCUCUGUCCUACUGGCCAUAUGCAGAUAUUCCUGCUUCCCCUUCACCUUCCACCAUAAUUGUGUUUCCUGAGGCCUUCCCAACCAUGUUUCCUGUACAGCCUGCAGAACUGUGAGUCAUUUAACCUCUUUUCUUUAUAAAUUACCCAUUCUCAGGGAGUUCUUUAUAGCAAUGCAAGAAUGGACUAAUACACGCAGCUAAAGUUUUUCUUAAGCACUUAAAUUGUUGACUAUAAAAUGAUAAAUUUAACUAUGUCAAAAUAAAGAACAUUUGUUCACCAAGAGAUACCUUUAAAAAGUAAAAAGACAAAGUAAAAACUGGGACAAGAUAUUCAUAAUAUCAACCACAAAGGUUUAGUACCAAGAAUAUAUGUAGAACUGCUACAAAUCAAUUUUGUUAACAAAGCACAAAUAACCAGUAUAAUAAUGGGGAAAAAAAGCACCAAUGGCAUUUCACAGAAGAGGAAACAUAUAUGCCCAAUAAACUUAUGAAAAGAUUCAAAAAGAAAAGUGAAAAAAAUUAUGAAUACCUAGUAUAUGAUAGCACAAAAGGGUGACUAUAGUCAAAAUAAUUUAACUGUACAUUUAAAAAUACCUAAAAGAGUAUAAUUGGAUUGUUUAUAACACAAAACAUAAAUGCUUGAGGGGAUGGAUACCCCAUUUCCCAUGAUGUGAUUAUUAUGCAUUGUGUGCCUAUAUCAAAACAUCUCAUGUACCCCAUAAAUAUAUGUACCUAUUAUGUACCCACAAAAACUAAAAAUAAAAAAAUUUGUUAAAGAAAAAAAGUGAAAAUUAAAAUCACAAUGAAAUAACAUGUUAUACUCAUUCAAUUAGCAAAAAGUAAAAAGCCUAACACAAUUAAGUGCUGGAGAGGAUGAAGCCUGUGGCAUUGUAGAUUAGCACAGAGUCUUUAGAGAAUGUUUUGGCAUUGUCUCCUAAAGUUGAACUUUCACAUGUUCUCUGACAUGAUUCUCCUUGAAGGUCCAUACC